AUGUGGUGUAUAUCAGAUGAGUGUAAGAGAGAGUAUUUAAAUAAAAUGUCUUCACAAGUUUUCAUUUUUUUCAUUUCAUUCCUCUCUCUUCAUCAGAACUCCCUCUCUCUCACACUAAAAUGCUCCCACCUCUCUCUAUAUUUCAGGCGAUCGGAAAUUGUUACCACCAGCCAAAAAUCGCUUCUACCAGUGGCUCCAUUUAACACCACCAAGUAA